rnacentral:rRNA from 1 species
AUUGAACGCUGGCGGCAGGCCUAACACAUGCAAGUCGAGCGGAGCGGCGGACGGGUGAGUAAUGCCUAGGAAUCUGCCUGGCUGUGGGGGAUAACGUCCGGAAACGGGCGCUAAUACCUCAUACUUUCAGUUGGGCCUAGGUCGGAUUAGCUAGUUGGUGGGGUAAAGGCCUACCAAGGCGACGAUCCGUAGCUGGUCUGAGAGGAUGAUCAGUCACACGGGAACUGAGACACGGUCCAGACUCCGACGGGAGGCAGCAGUGGGGAAUAUUGGACAAUGGGCGAAAGCCUGAUGCAGCCAUGCCGCGUGUGUGAAGAAGGUCUUCGGGUUGUAAAGCACUUUAAGUUGGGAGGCGUUACCAGCAGAAGAAGCACCGGCUAACUUCGUGCCAGCAGCCGCGGUAAUAC